GAAAUGCGAUAAUUAAUGUGAAUUGCAGAAUUCAGUGAAUCAUCGAGUCUUUGAACGCACAUUGCGCCCCCUGGUAUUCCGGGGGGCAUGCCUGUCCGAGCGUCUUUGCUGCCCUCAAGCACGGCUUGUGUGUUGGGCUUCCGUCCCUGGCAACGGGGACGGGCCCAAAAGGCAGUGGCGGCACCAUGUCUGGUCCUCGAGCGUAUGGGGCUUUAUCACCCGCUCCCGUAGGUCCAGCUGGCAGCUAGCCUCGCAACCAAUCUUUUUAACCAGGUUGACCUCGGAUCAGGUAGGGAUACCCGCUGAACUUAAGC
rnacentral:misc_RNA from 1 species